ACGAGGCACAAUGGUGCAUGCCUGUAGUCCCAGCUACUCGGGAGGCUGAGGUGGGAGGACUGCCUGAGUCCAGGAGUUCUGGGCUGUAUGCGCUAUGCCGAUUGGGUGUCUGCACUAAGUUCAGCAUCAAUAUGGUGAUCUCCCGGGAGCAGGGGACCACCAGGUUUGCCUAAGGAGGGGUGAACUGGCCCAGGUUGGAAAUGGAGCAGGUCAAAACUCCAGUUCUGAUCAGUAGUGGGAUCACACCUGUGAAUAGCCACAGCACUCCAGCCUGGGCAACACAGUGAGACUCUGUCUCU
rnacentral:SRP_RNA from 1 species